AGUAAAAUGCCUGAUAAAAAGGACUAUUUUGAUAGAAUAGAUAUGUAGAAUUCUUCUUUUACUA
rnacentral:tRNA from 1 species